UACGUAGGGGGCUAGCGUUGUCCGGAAUCAUUGGGCGUAAAGAGCGUGUAGGCGGCUCGGUAAGUCCGCUGUGAAAGUCCAGGGCUCAACCCUGGAAUGCCAGUGGAAACUGUCGAGCUAGAGUCCGGAAGAGGCGAGUGGAAUUCCUGGUGUAGCGGUGAAAUGCGCAGAUAUCAGGAGGAACACCAAUGGCGAAGGCAGGUCACUGGGCCGCAACUGACGCUGAGGAGCGAAAGCAUGGGGAGCGAACAGG
rnacentral:rRNA from 1 species